GCCUUGCUAGCUCAAUCGGUAGAGCGUGAGACUCUUAAUCGAUAUCUCAAGGUUGCGGGUUCGACCCCCGCGUGAGGCU
rnacentral:tRNA from 1 species